rnacentral:lncRNA from 1 species
GCAGCAGCAGGGCGGAGGAAGGGUUAGUCCCGUAAAGGUACUCCUAGUAUAAGUAAUAACCGUAGGCAUCCGUAGAUGUUCAUCAACCUCUGUAGCAAACAGUAGGCUCGAGGAAUGGUUAGUCCCGUAGAGGUACUCCUAAUAUAAGUAUUAACCGUAGGCAUCCGUAGAUGUUCAUCAACCACUGGUGCUAAUCAGCUGGGAUUCGGAAUGGUUAGUCCCAUCUAGAUAUCCCGUUGAACUGGGAUAGGCAGGACAAUUUACACAGAAGGUACUAAUAAAUCAUCCUCGUGAAUCGAGAUACAAGUAUUCAUGUAAGUAUACACAGGUAAAUGUAUCUAUGUAAAGGUACUCAUGUAAUGUAUUCAUGUAAGAGUAUUCAUGUAUCAUGUAAGCAUAUGUAAACGUACUCAUGUAUCAGGUAAUGUACUGGUAUAGACUCAUGAAGGAACUGACUCUUGUGUGAUUCAUUGUAAUAGGAAUAAAGUUUUGUAUCUUCUAAAUAUCCCUAUGAUAAUUAACUGAAUGGUAAUUGGUUGUUCAAGUAGGUUUAUACACCCUCACUACACAAUAGUGUGGGAAAUUGAACAAAGGAUGAAAACUAUAACAUCAAUACAUAUAUAAGAACAUAACUAUAACAUCAAUACAAGGCUAGUGAUUUUAGGGUUCCAAGAGACCUCAUACUUGAGUUUACUCUCCAUAUAACCCCACACAAGGAGUUUACGGUCGUAAACCCUUGUGUUUACAGCCGUGAACUCCUAGACUUAGUGUCAUUUUGUGUUUUGAAGUCCUAAAUGAUUUCCAGAAGCAAUUUGACUUGGUGGUUUAAUCCUUGGAAGGGUUUAGGGCAUCAAAACACUCUUUUUAGGAGUUUUCGGCCCAAAGGCCAUUUCCUUUUCAGUUUACUGCCGUAAACUCAUAUGGAAGAGGAUAUUUUUGUGCUUUCAAGUCCCAAACUUGUAAUACCCUAUUUAUUUAUUAGAUAAAUAAAUAAAUGAAUGAAGAACUCGUAGCCCUAAACUAAAUAAUUAUGUAUAAAAGGAUGGUCUCGAGGAGCUAUUUGUCACACUUUGAGAUAUUGGGGGUUAAAAGUAUAAAAUCCGUACUUAAUUUGUAAGUAUUGUUGAAGGUAGGGACUAAAUGGUAACUUCUAGGACUUCACUUGAAUAGAAUUUCGAGGCUAAGGGGUUGUAUGGUAAAUUAGGGAUCGGAUUUGAAAUGAAUUUAUGGAAGCAAGGGCCAAAGGGUAAAAUUCGGACUUAAAUUGAAAACAAAAUCUGUGAGGAGGGGCCGAUCCUAGAAAAGUGUAUCAAAGUUGUAUGAGGACACAGGAUAUACCCGGUGACCCCCCUUUCCCCUUCCCCAUCGUGGAUGAACACAAAACCUAAAUUAAAGGGAGCAUCUACAGCCGCUAAGCCCCUUAAGGAACUCGCCAGCCGCCACUGCAAGACCGAGCCUCCUAUCGUCGCUACUUUCCAUUGGAACGCCACCCGCUGCCGGCAACAUCGUGACCAGCCGAGAGGUGCGUUGAAGACUGGAGAUUGGAGCUUAAGACGACGUCGUGCGGGCCAUGAGCAACCAGAAGACCCUCAGUAUGCCAACAACAUCUCAAUUCUUCAUUUCUCCUUGUGGGUUCGACGUCAGGACCAUUGUUGUCGCUGACGAUGGCUCUUGGUCUCCACCUCAGCUCGUUCCAGCGUCACCAGCCGCCUAUUUGGUGGUUGGAAGCGGUGGUAUCAUGUCAGGAGUGGGUGGUUGGCUUCUCUUUCCGAGCGACAGGCAUGUAGGGGUGCGUGUUUCAAUUUGUGAGUGAAAUAUUGGUUGUAAGACACAAGAANUUCCAUUGGAACGCCACCCGCUGCCGGCAACGUCGUGAACAGCCGAGAGGUGCGUUGAAGACUGGAGAUUGGAGCUUAAGACGACUUCGUGCGGGCCAUGAACAACCAGAAGACCCUCAGUAUGCCAACAACAUCUCAAUUCUUCAUUUCUCCUUGUGGGUUCGACGUCAGGACCAUUGUUGUCGCUGACGAUGGCUCUUGGUCUCCACCCCAGCUCGUUCCAACGUCACCAGCCGCCUAUUUGGUGGUUGGAAGCGGUGGUAUCAUGUCAGGAGUGGGUGGUUGGCUUCCCUUUCCGAGCGACAGACAUGUAGGGGUGCGUGUUUCAAUUUGUGCGUGAAAUAUUGGCUGUAACACACAAGAAGACCACCAUGGCACCCAACCAUGGUGGUUGUUGCCGGGAAUGCUUUUUCUACCGCCACAAGCCACCGUGAAAGGUGGUUGUGGGCGUGUUGUGGUGUUUGUGUUAAUUUGUUGUGAUUUUAUAAGGCUACAGGAGCAUUCUAGGCUAGAGAUCUAAAGAUAGACCCCACCGCCACCACCGUGAGGUGGUGGCAGCCGCCAUUCACCACCGUCGGCCACCGCUAUGUCAUUGUCUAUAUGUGUUUGUAUUAGUGUGUGUGUGUGGUUGAUUAUUGGAGUUAUCAUCGUAAAAUGUAACUAGAAAGAAGAAUAAUGAAAAGAAAUUUAAAACCACCACCUUAAGUGGCGGGNNNNNGGCCGCCGUGUCGGGUGGCGGUGUGCUUAGUUGUGUUGGGAUUGCUAGUUUGGGGAUGUUUGGACAAGAGACUAAAACCCUAAUGGGCCUGAAUCCCUAAUGGACCCAAGAAAGCUUAAUGGACUCUAAUGGACUCAAUAAAGCACUAAUUGUCAUUGAACCCCAAACAUGUGUCUAAUGGGCUUAGUGAACCCUAAUGGGUCCAAUGACUUAGCUAUUCGGCCUAAUGGACUAAUGUGGGUUGGAAACCUUAAUUAGGGUUUGCAAAACCCUAAUGCAAUGAAACCAUAAUUUUGAGAAUUAAUCGGGAUACACGCACAGGAAUUAUUAAUAACUUGAAAUAUUAAAUAAUAAACUUUGGCAAAGAUUAAUCUAAGCGAUAAUGGACUUAAUGGAUUAAGUCCUUAAUGGGUUAAGUAGGAAACUUAACCCUAAUCAUCAUUUUAUGUGAAACCCUAAUUUCACUUGGGUUUAUUGUUGGGCCUUUCUUUUGGGCCUUGAUGAUCGGGUUAUUAAUGGGCCAUCCAAAGUCAAGCAAUUAGACUAGAGUAAUUUAAUGGGCCUAGGGUAAGGCCCAUGUAAGGGGCUUGGGCCCAAUUUGGAAAAUUGGGCCAUAGAUGGGCCAUAGUUUGGGCCUUAAUGAUUAUAUGAUGUUGGGCCUUAGAAUGAGACCAUGUAUAGGCCUAGGCCCAAUUUGGAAAAUUGGGCCAUGUGUUGGGCUUUGAUUUCUAAUUGACUUUGGGGCUAUGGAUUGGGCCUUGGGCUUGAAUAAGCCAAGCUAGGGGUAAUGUAGUAAUUACCCAAAGAAUAUACGUAUGGUUAUGUAUUGGGACCCAAUUAUUAAUUGGGUGUUAUUUUGGUGUUGACAGUUCGGGAAUCUGUCAGCCAGCAGCUGGGGUCGAGUCUGCGGGACUUCAACAAGUGUGGGAUUGUGUCUUCGGGACUUCAGCAAUGUGAGGUGAGUUACCUUCCAGUAGCGGUGGGUCUAAGGCCAUAAUUCCGGCCCACCAGUAGGAGACGUAUGAUANUAGGGAUCAUAUGCUAGAUGUUUGUCUUUGUGAUAUUCAUCUGUGUUGUUACUACCUGAUAUGUUAUAUGCUAGCGUGUUAUGGUAUGUGAUAGUGAUAGAGUUCGGUUGUUAGGACCGAAGGGUAGGUUAGGCACCCCAGAUAUGCCUAACAUUAUGUUAUGAUAUGUUUAGCUUCUAGCAUGAUAUGUUACAUGAGAUAGAGGUAGUAGGAGGGGGAAAAGUCCCCGAGAUUCGGUUGUUAGGACCGAAGGGUAGGUCGGACACCCCAUAUAUGUCUGACAACAGAUUAUGCUAUGAUAUAUGUUGCAGUAGUAGGGGUGAAAUAGUCCCCGAGGUUCGGUUCUUAGGACCGAAGGGUAGUCAACACCCUAGAAUAGCUCGACUUGGGUAAGUCAGCGCCCCAGAAUGGCUUGACAUGGGUAGGACGGCACCGCAGAAUGGCUGCAUGGGUAGGUCGGCACCCCAUAAAGGCCGUACCGGGUAGGUCGGGCACCCCAUAAAUGCCUGGCAGUAUGUAUGUUAUGUGAUUGUGUGGUAUGUGGUAUGAUGGGGGAACUCACUAAGCUUCAUGCUUACGGUUUUCAGUUUUGGUUUCAGGUACUUCGUGUUUAAAGGAAAGGAGACUGGUUGAUCGCAGCGCAUCACACUAUGGUUUUCCGCACAUGAGAUCUUGGGGAUUGCACUCUAAUAUUAUUUUAUGAUAACACGUUCGAUUAUUUCUACUUUGGUUUUGACAUGACAUGAUAUUACGGAUGUUUUAUUACACUGUUGAUUUGAUAAUGAUGUAUUUAAAAAUGAAAUUUUUGGCCUGUAUUUUUGGGAUGUUACAAGUUGGUAUCAGAGCCUUGGUUUGAGGGAUUCGGACAUACUCUCGGGUGUGUUUGAACUCAAACUAAGGGCUUGGUAUGAAAGUUUUCAAAAGUGAAACCAUUUUAUAAAAGGAGUUUGAAAAGAAUCUGAAAAGAGAAAAGAACUUUGAGAAAAACAAAGUGUGUGAUGCGUGCAAUCAGCCGAGCUCAAGUAAGUUUUCCCCAAGAUAACCAUACAUGUUAUGAUAUGAUAUGAUAUGAUUAUGAGAACUGCAUGCUAGAUUAGGGCUAAGGAUCUAGGAGGAUGCCUUAUAUGCCUAUUGUAUGUGCUUGUAGACUUCCAUGCUAGUACAUAUCAGUCAGUGAUAGGAUAACCUGUUUAGGUUAUACCUGAUCGUAUGAGCCUUUGAAUUGCAUGUACAGAUUCCUGAUUAGAGGAUAGAAUGAUUUGAUUGAAAUAUGAUGGUUAGAGUUUCCAUUGUCUGAAUGCUGCUUGCUUUGUGCUUUGUGGGACUUUUAGUAAUGUGAGCUAACUAUUAAGUGAAUAUGCUAAGUCACAUGUGGCACAGGCUGGAUAAUCUCAGAGUGAUAGAUUUGACCCUAUUGCGCAGCUCUUGUCUGAGUCCAACCGUUAUAGGGAUGAGUCUGCUACUUGAAGGAUUAUCUGAUCUCUGAUGCAUGUGGCUAUAUUCAUGAGGUAGCUAGUUGACAUUACUGGGAAUCUUUCGGCAGCUAAGGAUUGGGUGAGUUCGGGAUCCUAGGGAAGCCUAGGAUAUAUUUCAGUGAUUCAGUAGUGAGGCUCAGUUAGACUUGGGUGUACUAGUUGAGGAAGUGACUUGGAGGAUGUGGGAGGAUUGCUGAGGAAAGUAUGGAUAGGUGUGGAAGGUAGUAUUGGGCCUGUACUACUGAAAGCACAAGAUCCAUACUCGAAUCAGCGAGAGUCUUGGAGAAUCUAAGAAGCUUCAGGGAAGAUUUGUGACCCAGUUUGGGGACAGAGGAUGUUCCAGUUGUUGCAGCUUAACCAUUGGCAAGCGAGCUAGUGAGCGUGACAGGGUGUCAGACCCUGAAGGGUACGAUUCCCAAGAGUUGCAAAUGCGGGAUCGAUUUGGGAGCACCCUGGAAAGAGAGAUGCGUGCCAGGUGCGUAUAGUAGAGGGUCCCGGGAAGAGACGCAUGACUUCUGAUCAUCGGGUGAAAGGCCAGCGGGGCUUGAGUUAGUGCAGAGAAAGUACAUGAGGGAGUUUGUCACUCCAAGCGUUCAGGCUGCUACAGGGUAGCAGGAUUGGUAAUGUUAGCAGAAGGGGAUCAGUAUUCCUCCAGAUGUUGCGGGUAUGUCAUCUUAUUAGAUGGAUAUUGGGAAUACGUAUCGCUUUGGGAUUGCGAGUGAGUUUGGAUAAGUCGGAUCUCGAGUCAGUUUUCUGCUAGUGUUCGGUUAUCAAGGACCGUAUAUGGCAUCUUGCAUGCCUGAAGGUCCUUGAUGAACCUACAGAGGGACGUAUCUUGUGGAGUGGGGUCCUCGCACACCGUUAUCAUUUCGGAUCUUUGUCAGAAUCUAUGCAGGAGUAUUAUUUUAAGGAUACUCGAUCAGGGUUGGAGUGAUUGUUCUCCAAUGAAGUCAGCGUUCAGAGGUUCUAUCCUUGUUCAAGUAUGGUCAGCAAUUGUCUAUGGAUGAAUUUUGGAGUUCAAGGCACUACCGUUGCUAGGACAGAGCUGGUGACAUGAAAAGGAUAAUGUUAGUCACGGGUGUUAGAUGCAAAAGUGGUUGGUCAUAGCAUGUUCAAGAGAAUUGUAUUAUCGCAUGGGCUGUGCUCGGUCAGAGUCCAGUGGUACUGCAAGAUUGGAAAUGAGAACGAGGAUUCAUCAGCCAGAGUGAAGAUUAAGGUCUUCAGUGGUCAGCCUGGGAGAUGAAUUGAGGUGUCAGAAUGGAACGGAUUACAAGAGCACUCUUCAAGAUUUCAGAGGAUGGGCGAUCUUAAGGUUUAAUUGGUGAUUAAACGCUAGCAUUGGUAAGCACAUUUUGUCAUCGGUGGGAUAUUAGAAAGCGACACGGAUUGGGAAUCCUUCAAUUCUCGCAUGCCAUGAAGACUUAGUCGAAUCUAAGUGGGGGAGAGACUUUCUAUAAGGUUCUUCAAAUGUGAGUUCUGGUUGCGCGGGGUGCAAUCUCUUGGCCACCUUGACAACCAGAAGGGUAUUCUAGUUGAUCCGGCCAAGAUAAAGGCCGUGAUGCAGUGGGAGAUUCUGAGGUCUCCAUCUGAGGUUCGGAGUCCGCUGGGUCUAGCGAGUUAUUAUCAGAGAUUUGUAUGGGAUUUCUACGAAAUUGCGGUUCCUUUGACCUGACUGACCAAGAAGUCGGUGGCCUUUUGUUGAGGGCUUGAAUAGCAGGCAGCCUUCAAUACUCUCAGACAGCAGUUGUGCGAGGCACUGAUUCUCAUCCUGCAAGAAGGUGUAGAUGAUUUCAUGGUUUACUGUGACGCUUUGAUCACGGGCAUGGGUACGGUACUGAUACAGUGGGUUCACAUGAUAGCAGGUUUCGGGAACUAGAUUUGAAUUCCGGUUAGGACUCUUGUUCAGUUGUAUGUUAGGUCGAGUGCGUGUUUGACCUAGUAUGGAAAGUGUUGUAAGACUACGGGGGUAGUGGUAGCAUUCACUAGCAGUCAGAUAGUUUGGGAAGUGUUGUAAGACUACGGGGGUAGCCAUAGCAUUCACUAGUGGUCAGUUAGUAUGGAAAAUGUUGUAACACUACGGGGGUAGCCGUAGCAUUCACUAGCAUUCAGUUAUCAUGUGGGUGUUGUAAGUCUGCGGGUGUAGCCGUAGCAUUCACCAAGUUGGCAGAUAGUGUUAGGGUGUUGUGAGUCUGUGUGUGUAGCCGUAGCAUUCACCAGGUUGGCAGAUAGUACUUGAGUGAUGUAAGUCUGCGAGUAUAGCCGUAGCAUUCGCUUGGUUGGUAGAUAGAUUGGGCGCGUUGUUAGGGCGCGGAAUGAACAGCGGUACGCACCAGCUUAGGUGCAACUUUGAGGAUAUGGAAAUCCAAGAAUCGGAUUUCGGAUUUAUCCAAAUGGAUUAGACCUGGUUAAGCCAGUAAUGAGACGGUAGGGACGUUAUUACUGUUAUGAGAUCAGGGAAGCAAUGGACUGUUUAAGGUCGUUUGUGAUGUAAGACUACCAUUGCUUAGGUAGCAAUCACUUUUAGUCCUGGAUUUGAGUAUUUCAGGAUCUGACGCAUGGACCCGAUUGGUUAGAUCGGAAAGUAGUGGAGACACAGUGGCAUGAUAACUAGUGGCAACUAGUUCCAGAGAAGGAUUUCGCUCAGAAGUCGUGUGAGGUGAAUAAGUAGCGAGUCCUUUGGCUCUGCAGUCGGGUGGAAACCCAGUAUUUCAGAGGAUUGGCAAGCGAAUUAAGACCCAGGAGGUCUUGGUAGCUUUUGGUAAGCAGAUAUGUAGCAGCGUAUACUGCUUCAGGCGGUUCAGUGUUCGAGCAGUUUCAACGUUUGGGCAGUGAUAGUAUGUGUGUUUUAGUUGCAUAUGUGCACGGAAUAGCUGGUUUAUUGGGGAGUGACAAGUUACCCACACCGGGAAUAGCUGAGCUUUAGCCGAGAAUAGGUGAUCUGCAAAGGUAAUUGGGUUUGUGACCUAGGUUUAUGGUGGGAACAACAUGCUAUCAGAAGUUAAGUAGUCAGUUGAGGGAUAAGCGGGCUGGUUCCAUCGGUAAUGAUUUAGUAUGAGUGGUCUACCAGGGAUUCAGACCAUCUCGAGACAGCAGAUUUCGAACAGAGUACAUGUGGUCUUGUUGCAAGGAAUUCGGCACCUGUGGAUUUUAGGGCUUUACGAGGAUUGGUCAUCGCUACCCUGGGAAUGCUACGGCAUGCCCAGAUUAGUGACCAUGCUACUAGAGUGGUUGGGCGAGCAAGGAAUGGUAAUAAAUGAUUUCGAGGACGAAAUCUAAUUUAAGUGGGGGAGAGUUGUAAUACCCUGUUUAUUUAUUAGAUUAAUAAAUAAAUAAAUGAAGAACUCGUAGCCCUAAAAUAAAUAAUUAUGUAUAAAAGGAUGGUCUCGAGGAGCUAUUUGUCACACUUUGAGAUAUUGGGGGUUAAAAGUAUAAAAUCCGUACUUAAUUUGUAAGUAUUAUUGAAGGUAGGGACUAAAUGUUAACUUCUAGGACUUCACUUAAAGAGAAUUUCGAGGCUAAGGGGUUGUAUGGUAAAUUAGGGAUCGGAUUAGAAAUGAAUUUAUGGAAGCAAGGGCCAAAGGGUAAAAUUCGUACUUAAAUUGAAAACAAAAUCUGUGAGGAGUGGCCGAUCCUGGAAAAGUGUAUCAAAGUUGUAUGAGGACACGGGAUAUACCCGGUGACCCCCGUUUCCCCUUCCCCAUCGUGGAUGAACACAAACCCUAAAUUGAAGGGAGCAUCUACAGCCGCUACCCCCUUAAGGAACUCGCGAGCCUCCACUACAAGACCGAGCCUCCUGUCGUCGCUACUUUCCAUUGGAACGCCACCCGCUGCCGGCAACGUCGUGAACAGCCAAGAGGUGCGAUGAAGACUGGAGAUUGGAGCUUAAGACGACGUCGCGCGGGCCAUGAGCAACCAGAAGACCCUCAGUAUGCCAACAACAUCUCAAUUCUUCAUUUCUCCUUGUGGGUUCGACGUCAGGACCAUUGUUGUCGACGACGAUGGCUCUUGGUCUCCACCUCAGCUCGUUCCAGCAUCACCAGCCGCCUAUUCGGUCGUUGGAAGUGGUGGUAUCAUGUCAGGAGUGGGUGGUUGGCUUCUCUUUCCGAGCGACAGGCGUGUAGAGGUGCGUGUUUCAAUUUGUGCGUGAAAUAUUGGCUGUAAGACACAAGAAGACCACCAUGGCAGCCAACCAUGGUGGUUGUCGCCAGGAAUGCUUUUUCUGCCGCCACAAGCCACCGCGAAAGGUGGUUGUGGGCGUGUUGUGGUGUUUUUGUUCAUUUUUUGUGAUGUUAUAAGGCUAAUGGAGCAUUCUAGGCUGGAGAUCUAAAGAUAGACCCCACCGCCACCACCAUGUGGGGUGUCNCAUUCGCCACCGUCGGCCGCCGCUAUGUCAUUGUCUAUAUGUGUUUGUAUUAGUGUGUUUGUGGUUGAUUAUUGGAGUUAUCAUUGUAAAAUGUAACUAUAAAGAAGAAUAAUGAAAAUAAAUUUAAAACCACCACCUUUAAGUGGUGGCUGCCGCCUCCUGCCGCCGUGUCGGGUGGCGGUGUCCUUAGUUGUGUUGGGAUUGCUAGUUUGGGGAUGUUUGGAAAAGGAACUAAAACCCUAAUAGGCCUGAAACCCUAAUGGGCCCAAGAAAGCUUAAUGGACUCUAAUGGACUCAAUAAAGCCCUAAUUGACAUUAAAGCCCAAACAUGUGUCUAAUGGGCUUAGUGAACCCUAAUGGAUCUAAUGACUUAGCUAUUGGGCCUAAUGGACUAAUGUGGGUUGGAAACCUUAAUUAGGGUUUGGAAAAACCUAAUGCAAUGAAACCCUAAUUUUGAGAAUUAAUCGGGAUACACGCACAUGAAUUAUUAAUAACUUGAAAUAUUAAAUAAUAAACUUUGGCAAAGAUUAAUCUAAGCGAUAAUGGACUUAAUGGAUUAAGUCCUUAAUGGGUUAAGUAGGAAACUUAACCCUAAUCAUCAUUUUAUGUGAAACCCUAAUUUCACUUGGGUUUAUUGUUGGGCCUUCCUUUUGGGCCUUGAUGAUCGGGUUAUUAAUCGUCCAUCCAAAGUCAAGUAAUUAGACUAGAAUAAUUUAAUGGGCCUACGGUAAGGCCCAUGUAAGGGGCAUGGGCCCAAUUUGGAAAAUUGGGCCAUAGAUGGGCCAUAGUUUGGGCUUGAAUGAUUAUAUGAUGUUGGGCNCCUAGGCCCAAUUUGGAAAAUUGGGCCAUAUGUUGGGUUUUGAUUUCCUAGUUGACCUUGGGCCUAUGGAUUGGGCCUUGGGCUUGAAUAAGCCAAGCCAGGGGUAAUGUAGUAAUUACCCAAAGAAUAUACGUAUGGUUAUCUAUUGGGACCUAAUUAUUAAUUGGAUGUUAUUUUGGUGUUGACAGUUCGGGAAUCUGUCAGCCAGCAGCUGGGGUCAAGUCUGCGGGACUUCAGCAAGUGUGGGAUUGUGUCUUCGGGACUUCAGCAAUGUGAGGUGAGUUACCUUCCAGUAGCGGUGGUUCUAAGGCCAUAAUGCCGGCCCACCAGUAGGAGACGUAUGAUAAAUGAUUUUCACUGUGAUAUCAUCUAGGUUUGCUACUACCUGAUAUGUUAUAUGCUAGCAUGAUAUGUUAUAUGUGAUAGUAGUAGAGUUUGGUUGUUAGGACCGGAGGGUAGUCGGACACCCCAGAUACGUCUGACAGUAUGUGAUGUUAUGUUUAUAUGCUAUCAUGACCUGUUAUAUGAGUUUAAGGUAGUAGGAGGGGAGCAGUCCCCGAGUUCGGUUAUUAGGACCGAAGGGUAGUUCAAACACCCUAGAUAUGUCUGAUAAUACGUUAUGUUAUGAUAUGUGAUAGUAGUAGUAGUAGGGGGUGAAAUAGUCCCUGAGGUUCGUUCGUUAGGACCGAAGGGUAGUCAGGACCCCAGAAUGGCUUGACAUCGGUAGGACGGCACCCCAAAAUGGCCGCAUGGGUAGGUCGGCACCCCUGAAAGGCCGUACCGGGUAGGUCGGGCACCCAAGAAAUGUCUGGCAGUAUGUAUGUUAUGUGAUUGUGUGGUAUGUGGUAUGAUGGGGGAACUCACUAAGCUUCGUUCUUACAGUUUUCAUUUUUGGUUUCGGGUACUUCGUGUUUAAAGGAAAGGAGUCAGGUUGAUCGUAGCGCAUCACACUAUGGUUUUCCGCACAUGAGAUCUUGGGGAUUGCACUCUGAUAUUAUUUUAUGAUAACACGUUUGAUUAUUUCUACUUUGGUUUUGACAUGACAUGAUAUUACGGAUGUUUUAUUACACUGUUGGUUUUAUAAUGACGUAUUUAAAAAUGAAAUUUUUGGCCUGUAUUUUUGGGAUGUUACAAAACUCAUGUAGGAUAGGUUCUAUACAUUUAUCUAAGGCUAAUGGAGGCCUUAGGCACACAUUGGUGCCCUUUUUUCAUGUUUACGGCCCAAGAGCCUUUUCCCUUAGAGAUUACGGUCGUAAUCUCUCUUUGGGAGGGGUUUAUGAUGUUUUAAGGUCCCUCAAAUAACUAGGAGUAAAUCUAGGUAAUUGUCCAAAGCAUUAGGAGUGUUAAAAGCACUCUUUGGUCCUUGUUUUUGGAGUUCACGGUCCAAGAACUUCUUGGGCCAGGAACACCUAAACAUUGUUGUUUCAUUGAUGUUUUCUUGUCUUAAAUACACCUAUAUAUAAGCCUAAGUUCGUUAUUUAGCAAGUGGAAGGGACUAGGCACCAUUUCGGGAGUUUACCUCCCAAGAUCACCUUGGGGAGUAAACUCCUAAAUCUAGUUGUUUUGCUAUGUAAUCUAUGUUAUUAAACACAUUAUAAGCUUUAUAACACUACUAGAGAGAGAUACUCACGAUUUGGGAUGAAAAGCCGAAUAUCCGUGAGAGAGAAAAUGUCUUUUCUCUAGUUGUAAUGUAAAUAAUGAAUGAAAUUGGUUCAGAAUUCUAUAUAUAGUCCUGAGAUUUUUGGCAGAAAAUAUUUUAUUCCUGAAAUGAUCUCUAAUAUAAUAGAGUUUUGGAAUAACAGAGUUGCACAAAAACCUAGUGCAUCCACUCUCCAGAUAUCUCCUGAAGUGUAAACCCUGAAUUACUCAAACUUAUACGGAAAAAUCUGAAAAUUUACUGUGAGUGUUAUAACUUCUAUUGAAGUGAUAUUGUUUGUACAGAAUGGAAAUUUCGGGUUGUCACAUCAUUCCCCCGUUAGAAAGAAUUUCGUCCCGAAAUUAUAAUUUAAGCAAAUAAGCAAUUACAAAUAACUAAGAGAAAAGAUGAGGGUAUUUCAGUUUCAUCUUAUCCUCUCGUUCCCAAGUGAAUUCAGGUCCACGUUUUGCGUUCCAGCGAACCUUCACUAUCGGGAUACAGCUUUGCUUUGUUUUCUUGACCUCUCGGUCCAUGAUCUCUACGGGUUCCUCCACGAAGUUGAGGCUCUCGUUGAUCUCGAUCUCGUCGAGUGGAAUAACAAGAGUCUCAUCGGGCAGACACUUUUUCAAGUUCGUGACGUGGAAGGUAGGAUGUACGUUACUGAGUUCCUGUGGUAGGUUGAGUUUGUAAGCUACAGGUCCGAUUCUCGCGAGAAUCUAGAAAGGCCCUAUGUAUCUUGGAUUGAGCUUCCCACGCUUUCCAAAGCGUAUCAAGCCCUUCCAGGGUGAGACUUUCAGUAGAACUCGGUCGCCCACCUGGAAUUCCAACGGUUUUCUUCGCUUGUCAGCGUAACUUUUCUGUCGGUCUCUAGAGGCUUUCAAUCGUUCACGAAUUUGAACGAUCUUCUCUGUCGUUUCUCGAAUGAUCUCCGGACCCGUGAGAGUGCUUUCGGGAACUCGUCCCUUAGCUAACUGGGUAUCACCCACCUCAGCCCAGCAUAGAGGGGAUCUGCACUUUCGGCCAUAGAGGGCCUCGAAUGGAGCUGCCUUUAUGCUCGUGUGAUAACUGUUGUUAUAGGAAAAUUCGACGAGGGGUAAAUGGGUAUCCCAAGCUUUUCCAAAGUCAAUCACACAGGCACGCAACAUAUCUUCUAAGGUCUGGAUAGUUCUCUCACUUUGCCCGUCGGUCUGUGGAUGGUAGGUCGUACUCAUGUCCAGCCUAGUUCCUAGGCAACUUUGUAAUGACUUCCAGAACCUUGAAGUGAAUCUACUAACUCUGUCCGAGAUAAUAGAUAAUAGAACACCGUGCAAUAUUACAAUUUCCCUAAUUUAAGUUCUUGUAAGUUUGUCCAUCUUGUCUGUUUCUUUGAUUGGCAAGAAGUGUGCAGACUUGGUCAGUCUGUCGACGAUGACCCAUAUGGAAUGAAGUCCACCCGUUGUCUUGGGAAACUUGGUUAUGAAGUCCAUAGUGAUCCGCUCCCACUUCCAUUCUGGUAUUUUCGGUUGCUGUAAGAGAGCGGAGGGUUUCUGGUAUUCGACCUUGACCUUUGCGCAAGUAAGGCAUUUACUCACGAAGGUAUCAAUAUCUGCUUUCAUGUUAGGCCACCAGUAUAACUUUUUAAGAUCCAGAUACAUCUUAUCUGAACCCGGGUGGACGGAAUAACGAGUGUUGUGAGCUUUGGUCAUGACCAAGUCUCUGAAGCCACCGUGUUUCGGUGUCCGGAUUCGAUCCAUGAGGUAUAAGGCUCCGCUACCCUUGACUUCCAAGCAUCGAGUUGAGCCUCCUUAAUUUGCGUGGACAAGUGUGAAUGGAUAGUUAGAGUCAAAGACUUGACUCUACGAGCAGCAUAUUCUUUCCGGCUUAGGGCGUCGGCUACAACAUUGGCUUUACCCGGGUGAUAACGAAUAUCGCACUCGUAAUUAUUGAGUUGUUCGACCCACCGUCGUUGUCUCAUGAUGAGCUCCUUCUGGUCGAAAAUUUGUUGUAGACUCUUUUAGUCUAUAAAGAUCGUGCUUUUUGUACCAUACAGGUAGUGUCUCCAGAUCUACAGAGCAAACACAACUGCUCCUAGCUCAAGAUCGUGGGUGGUGUAGUUAACCUCAUGUGUCUUCAGCUGUCUCGAGGCAUAGGCUAUGACUUUACCUCGCUGCAUCAGAACACAUCCGAGUCCUUGAUUUGAUGCAUCGCAAUAGACCACGAGGGAUAGUAUCGGUGCGGUGCACAAGGCUUGCUUGAGCAUUUGGAAUGCUCUUUCUUGUUUCUCUUCCCAGUCAAAGGCUACGCCCUUGUGGCUCAGUGUUGUAAGAGGUUUCGCUAUGCGGGAGAAGUUCUGAAUGAACCUGCGAUAGUAGCCAACCAGACCUAGAAAUUGACGAAUUUAUGUAGGUGUCUUCGGUGCUGACUAGUUCUCGAUGGCCUUGAUUUUGGAAGGCUCCACGUGUAUUCCCUCUUCGCUAACAACAUGGCCCAGAAAUUCGACUUGGAGAACUUCGCAUAAACCUUCUCCGACCGCAAUGUUUCUAAGACUCUACGGAGAUGUUGAAUAUGUUCCCCCUUACUUCGAGAGUAGAUGAGUAUGUCAUCAAUGAAGACGAUGACGAAGUGAUCCAAGUAAGGACGACACACCCUAUUCAUCAGAUCCAUGAAUACUGCGGGCGCGUUAGUUAAUCCGAAUGGCAUCACUACAAACUCGUAGUGUCCAUAACGAGUUCGGAAGGCUGUCUUGGGAACAUCCUCCUCUAACACUCGUAGUUGGUGAUAUCCGGAUCGUAGAUCUAUCUUCGAGAACUAGUUGGCUCCUUGAAGUUGGUCAAAUAAAACGUCAACGCGAGGCAAUGGAUAACGAUUUUUAAUGGUAAGCUUGUUGAGUUCUCUGUAGUCGACGCACAUGCAAAACGAUCCAUCUUUCUUCUUGACGAACAAGAUCGGUGUUCCCGAUGGUGAGAAGCUUGGUCGAAUGAAUCCCUUCUUGAGAAGUUCGUUAAGCUGGCUGGAAAGUUCCUGCAUCUCGGUCGGUGCCAGACGAUAAGGAGAUUUGGCUACGGGGGUAGCUCCUGACACUAAGUCGAUUCUGAACUCGACUUGGCGUUGUGGUGGUAAACCAGAAAGUUCUUCUCGGAAGAUGUCGGGAAAGUCGCGUACUUUGGGGAUUUUCUGAAUGUCUUUCACCUCUUGAUUUGUAUCGACGAUGUGUGCGAGGAAGGCAUGGUAUUCCUUUUGCCAACACUUAUGGGCUUGAAUACACGAAAUGAUGCGAAGGCUCGUACUAGGUUUGUCGCCGUAGAUAACUAAUGUUUUGUUGUUAGGAAGGUUAAGACAAACUGCUUUUUCAAAGCACAUGAUGUCGGCACGAAGAAGACUCAACCAAUCCAUGCCGAUGAUAACGUCGAAACAUUUAAUUGGGACUGGCAUGAGGUCUAUCUUGAAAGUAUGGCCAUCUAGAGUGAAAGUACAAUCUACGUAUAUGCAGUUUGUACUCUCUGUUUUCCCGUUAGCCAUUUCUACCGUGAAUGAAUUAUCUAAUGCACAUGGUUUUUGUUUAAGUAGGUGUGCAAAUUUCUGACUUACGAAACUUCUCUCUGCUCCACUGUCAAAAAGUAUGCAAGCAUAUGAGUUAUUGAGGAGGAACGUACCAGUAACUAUCAUAGGAUCAGCUACUGCUUCCUCGUGGCCCAAAGCCAUAACUCUUCCUACUCCUCCAGCCAUCCCCGCUUUAGUUAAGUUCCUCUUGUAGUGGCCCACUUCGCCACAACCAUAGCAAGCUUGGCCCAUACCGGCGAUAGGAACUUGAGCGGCCUGAGCUAUUGGAGUCUUGCAGUAACGGGCUGUAUGCCCCUUCCUAUUACGGUUAGAGUACAGCAUCUCCUUGCAAGGUUCAUGGUGGUGGAAGCUGCAUCUGUUGCACUUCGGGAGAGUCCCAACAUAAUUUUUUGCUGGUAAGGGGUUCGCAGGGACAACGGGAGUUACCGUGGCAGCAUUGUUUGCCACAAGUUGUUGUCUCUUGUAGGAUUCCUGCGAAGCCCCUCUUUUCCUCUUAUUCCACCCCUUCAUGUUGUUGUUGACCUUUUGUGGUACGGGUGCAGGGAUUGUUGGGUUCUGAGGUUUCCUGUGAUCUAUGAGAGAUUGGGCCAGUUCUUUGGCACUAUCGAAAGUGAUAGGCCUGGAAGCUAACACACUUGAUUGGAUCUGGGGCGACAGCCCCCAGAUAUAUCUCUCUAUCUUCUUUCUCUUGAGAGCAACCAUAUCAGGGGAUAGGUUUGCCAGAUCAUAGAACCUAUUUGUGUAGUUUGUGAUUUCGGAUCCAACCAUUUGUAGACCCCAGAGUUCUUGCUCGAGUUUUUGUACUUCACCUCGAGGACAGUACUCUUUCAUCUGCAUGUCCUUCAAUUUUUCCCAGCUGAUGGAAUACGCCACCACCAAAGUCAGAUACUUAACAUGGCCGUUCCACCAUGUUAGUGAUUUGUCAGAGAAGGUACAACCUCCCUUUGCGAGGUUGUAGAAUGUUCUGUCUCCGUUGUAGGGAAUGGGUUGACCUUGUUCCUGACUCCAUAUAGUCAAGUUAGUGGCCCAUAGAGGUGUGGGUCCUUGAAAUGCGGGACGGGGGUUCAGGUUUGGGUCUUGAGCAGCUCGGGGUAGGUUGUUGACUUCACGCUCCGAGUCAGAACUAUCAGAAAAACCCUCAGCAUGCUGAUCAUCCAAAGGGAUUUGGUGAUCAUCUUCUGGUUUUGCCUCUAGCCAACCAGCAUUGCCUUGGUUUGGGUAGUACGGAUUGCCAUGGUGAAAUCCACCCAUUAUAAUCUACGCGAGAAAAGGGAUAUAAGAAAUAGCUAAAUAGAUGAACUGACUAAGAUAAUUACAGUAAGACCAAAUACCCAUAUGGUAUUUCUUUAUGGUUGUGUUGGUAAGUUUUUAGACUUGUUGUCACAUCACAACCAUUGUUGGGCAUAUGCUAAUCACUCCUCGGACCAGCAUAGUUGAUUAGGCUAUGCCAUUCCCAAGACUAACCAUAUAUCCCCAGGCUUACUUGUGAUAUUCAAAAAUCGUAAUAUUUUUUGUUCUUGUCAUUGUGACACCGAUUUUAGUAUGAACGCAGGCACGUAUACUUAAUUAAAUAUUUUAUUAUUUAAAAGGGUAACUCUUAGACAAAGUGUUUUAAUCCCUAUGUAUUUAUAGUUAGUAUAUCUUUUAUUGGUUGAUACACUAUAUUCACUAUAAACAAAGCUCUAAUACCAAUAUGUCACACCUCAAAACCAAGAACGGUGGAAACGUUCCGGGGUGGAGGACGUCAUGUACAGUAUCACAACAGUGUAAAGUAGUAAAUAAGCAACAACAUCAUCCAUUGCAUUAUAAGUAAAGUUUUAAUAUAUGUGUGUUCUUUCAUUGUAAUAAGACACCAAUAAUAUACAAUCAAAAUAAAAGACGAGACUUGUCUGUGCUCCGUCUUCUCAAAAACCUGGCCAUCGUACCUGUCUGCUGGUGACCUGAGAAUACAAGUUAUUUUGAAAGAGAGUAUCAGCUUAAUGCUAGUGAAUUCAUAAGUAUUUAUGUGUCAUUGUCUUGUUUUUGAAAAGCGGUUAUGAAUGCCAUGUAAAUCUUUAAAUGAAAAUGUUGAUAUAAGUAUGAAAAACCCUAGGAAAUCCCUUAUUUCCUAUUAGUAUGAGAUGUAGUCUUCUACAAAGACCUGAAUGUUUUUGUAAGCAAAAUGAUAGUGUUUCCCUUCUAUUGACUACUACUAAAAGUACUUAGUCUAACUCCUUGUUUAUGUGAAUAUAUCACAAAAUAAAGUAAAUAGGAAAAUGUACUAAUGUAAGUGUUAUCCCGAGGUACUAGGGCUAACACGACAUCGUGGUAAGAGAAAUGUAUAACCUAAUGAACAUUCGAAGAUUGUCCAAUUGUCCUUUGUAGCAGCAGUAGGUUGGAGGAAGGGUUAGUCCCAUAACUGACUCCUAAUANGUAGGCUCGAGGAAUGGUUAGUCCCGUAGAGGUACUCAUAGUAUAAGUAUUAACCGUAGGCAUCCGUAGAUGUUCAUCAACCACUGGUGCUAAUCAGCUGGGAUUCGGAAUGGUUAGUCCCGUCUAGAUAUUCCGUUGAACUGGGAUAGGCAGGACAAUUUACACAGAAGGUACUAAUAAAUCAUCCUCGCGAAUCGAGAUACAAGUAUUCAUGUAAGUAUACACAGGUAAAUGUAUCAACGUAAAGGUACUCAUGUAAUGUAUUCAUGUAAGCGUAUUCAUGUAUCAUGUAAGCAUAUGUAAACGUUCUCAUGUAUCAUGUAAGCAUAUGUAAACGUACUCAUGUAUCAGGUAAUGUACUAGUAUAGACUCAUGAAUGAACUGACUCUUGUGUGAUUCCUUGUAAUAGGAAUAAAGUUUUGUA